UGGGGAAUAUUGCACAAUGGGGGAACCCUGAUGCAGCGACGCCGCGUGAGGGAAGAAGGUUUUCGGAUUGUAAACCUCUGUCUUUGGUGACGAAAGAUGACGGUAGCCAAAGAGGAAGCUACGGCUAACUACGUGCC
rnacentral:rRNA from 1 species